rnacentral:lncRNA from 1 species
ACAAAAUUGGCCCCUCUACCCCUCUAGAUCCUAGGAACCCUAGAGAUGACUUGAACCUAGGUCUAGGUUCCCAGGUACCAUUGCAUCUACAGCAAGAUUAACCCACUCAUCCUAGUCCCACACAAACCAUAAAAAUUUCAAAACCUAAGCUAAGGAUCAUCAUAGGCAUCUUAGUCCGUCGUGGUCCCUUCUUGCAUCGAAGGCCUUACUCUAACGCAAAGAACUCUUAUUUUCAAGCGUCUCUGACUCAAGACUCUGAAAGACAACGGGAAAGGUCCCCUCGCACCCACAUCUCUAACUUGGGC